GAUUAUGGCUCAGGACGAACGCUGGCGGCGUGCUUAACACAUGCAAGUCGAGCGAUGAAGCUUCUUCGGAAGUGGAUUAGCGGCGGACGGGUGAGUAACACGUGGGUAACCUGCCUCAUAGAGGGGAAUAGCCUUCCGAAAGGAAGAUUAAUACCGCAUAAGAUUGUAAUAUCGCAUGAUAUAGCAAUUAAAGGAGUAAUCCGCUAUGAGAUGGACCCGCGUCGCAUUAGCUAGUUGGUGAGGUAACGGCUCACCAAGGCGACGAUGCGUAGCCGACCUGAGAGGGUGAUCGGCCACAUUGGGACUGAGACACGGCCCAGACUCCUACGGGAGGCAGCAGUGGGGAAUAUUGCACAAUGGGGGAAACCCUGAUGCAAGCAACGCCGCGUGAGUGAUGACGGUCUUCGGAUUGUAAAGCUCUGUCUUCAGGGACGAUAAUGACGGUACCUGAGGAGGAAGCCACGGCUAACUACGUGCCAGCCGCCGC
rnacentral:rRNA from 1 species